ensembl:lncRNA EDRF1-DT EDRF1 divergent transcript
GACGCUCAGGCUCCGCCCCCUGCAUGUCUUUGUUGGCAAACAGUUCUGGGGGUCGUCCGAUCCUGCAGAGACCGUCCAGGCUGGACUUGAACUCCUUCCUCGGCUGAAGUGAUCCUCCUGCCUCAGCGUCCUGAAUAGGAAGUGGAGCCAGAAUCCACAGAUGUCAUUAUCCAUCUGCACACUUUGUUUACUACCCAGAAGGCAAGAAUAUUGCAUUUUAAAAGUGCCCGGACUUUUGUUCUUUCUUAUCACAAAUGACUUGGGAAGCUCCGACCACUCAUGUUUACCCCGAGUGAAAGUCCCAUUCAAAGCCUUGCUUCCUGGAGAGCUUUGAGAUUCUGGUACAAAAGGCAUUUUAUAAGCACAAAGUGGAAAAGCAUCAUUCAUAUUCAUUUGCUGCUGCGGCAUUUCUCCCUGGAAUCUUCCUCUUGUCUGUCAACAUUGGGCAAAAGGACUGGCCUCAUCUACAUUACAGAUAUCCUUGUGAUGGUCUGGAGGGACCUGUGGGAGAGGCGGCCAUCCAGAGGGCUCUCUGAGGGGUCAUUUAGAAUGCAACUCUUCUGGGCAGAGGAUGGUCUGCACUGGCCUCCACCACGCAGGAAGGCUUCCAGAGUGGAGAAAUGUCCACUAACAUGGCUUCUGUGAGGUCAUGUGCUGGGUGCUGGGAACACAAAGGUAUCAUUCUGAUCAUUGUUGUUACAGGAGAGAUGAGAGGAAGUUAGAGGGGCUAGAAGAACCAGGAGACCUGUUGAAAAUCAUGAAUACAAAGAGAGGUCGUUUGCUUCUGUGCUUCAAUUCUAUAAUAAAAUGAGUACAAUGUCA